rnacentral:lncRNA from 1 species
AUUUCCUUGCCAAUCAUCUGCUCGGCUCCUGGUGGGCGGGGCGCGGUCCGCAGCGUCUGUGGUAACGCAAGCUGCUGCGGAGGAGCAGUCGUGAGGCGGUGAGAGUCUAGACACCCGGUUGGCGGCAGUGGACGUGCGUCGGGGGUCCUUAUCUCUGUCCUUGAGGCUGGAGGAAGGAGAGAACAUGACUGCUGGUUCAGUGUGUGCCCCUCAGAUCAUACCACUGCGAGUGCCUCAGCCUGGAAAAGCUAACCAUGAAAUUGAUACCAAUACUCUUUUGGAAAUGAAAUCCGACACCCCAGACGUCAACAUAUAUUACACCCUGGAUGGCAGCAAACCUGACUUCCUAAAGAAAGUUGGUUCUGGUGAAAAUAAUACAUUUAAAUAUAU